rnacentral:rRNA from 1 species
GAUGAACGCUAGCGGCAGGCUUAAUACAUGCAAGUCGAGGGGCAGCAUGGUUGUAGCAAUACAAUUGAUGGCGACCGGCAAACGGGUGCGGAACACGUACACAACCUUCCAACAAGUGGGGGAUAGCCCAGAGAAAUUUGGAUUAAUACCCCGUAACAUAGCGAUGUGGCAUCACAUUGCUAUUAUAGAUUUUUCGCUUGUUGAUGGGUGUGCGGCUGAUUAGAUAGUUGGCGGGGUAACGGCCCACCAAGUCUACGAUCAGUAGCUGAUGUGAGAGCAUGAUCAGCCACACGGGCACUGAGACACGGGCCCGACUCCUACGGGAGGCAGCAGUAAGGAAUAUUGGACAAUGGACGCAAGUCUGAUCCAGCCAUGCCGCGUGAAGGAUUAAGGUCCUCUGGAUUGUAAACUUCUUUUAUAAGGGACGAAAAAAGGCUUUUCUAAGUCGUCUGACGGUACCUUAUGAAUAAGCACCGGCUAACUCCGUGCCAGCAGCCGCCGUAAUAC